AAUAGGAGAAUAACAAAUCAGAUUUUUUUUCCAAAUUUUCAAUUUUUUCCUCCUCAAAAAAUUCAAAUUCAAUAAAAAAUCUAAAAAUCAAGAGGAAAAAUUUGAUUUGUCAUUCUCCUAUU
rnacentral:pre_miRNA from 1 species